UCGGGAAUUUUGGGCAAUGGGCGAAAGCCUGACCCAGCAACGCCGCGUGAGGGAUGAAGUAUUUCGGUGUGUAAACCUCGAAAGAAUGGGAAGAAUAAAUGACGGUACCAUUUAUAAGCUCCGGCUAACUACGUGCCAGCAGCCGCAGUAAUACGUAGGGAGCAAGCGUUGUUCGGAUUUACUGGGCGUAAAGGGCGCGUAGGCGGCGCGGUAAGUCACUUGUGAAAUCUCUGAGCUUAACUCAGAACGGCCAAGUGAUACUGCUGUGCUAGAGUGCGGAAGAGGCAACCGGAAUUCUUGGUGUAGCGGUGAAAUGCGUAGAUAUCAGGAGGAACACCUGAGGCGAAGGCGGGUUGCUGGGCCGACACUGACGCUGAUGCGCGAAAGCCAGGGGAGCAAACG
rnacentral:rRNA from 1 species